rnacentral:tRNA from 1 species
GGGGUCGUGGGCCAGCGGAGUGGCCGCCGCGCUGUCGACGCGGAGAUCACGGGUUCAAAUCCCGUCGGCCUCG